UAGUCGGAGGUGUGUCUCGGACGGUCGGUUCGCCGCUUGUCGGUGCUCAACUGGCCGGUCCGGACGUCCUGCCGGUGGGGCCGCGAGGCCCCGUUAUCCUUCUUUGGUCCUCUUCACCGAGUGCCUUGGUGGGCCGGCACGUUUACUUUGAACAAAUUAGAGUGCUCAAAGCAGGCCGUUGGUCGCCUGAAUACUGUGUGCAUGGAAUAAUGGAAUAGGACCUCGGUUCCAUUUUGUUGGUUUUCAGAACUCGAGGUAAUGAUUAAUAGGGACGGACGGGGGCAUUCGUAUUGCGACGUUAGAGGUGAAAUUCUUGGAUCGUCGCAAGACGAACCGAUGCGAAAGCAUUUGCCAAGAACGUUUUCGUUGAUCAAGAACGAAAGUUAGAGGUUCGAAGGCGAUCAGAUACCGCCCUAGUUCUAACCAUAAACGAUGCCAGCUAGCCAUCCGCCGAAGUUCCUUCUAUGACUCGGCGGGCAGCUUCCGGGAAACCAAAGCUCUUGGGUUCCGGGGGAAGUAU
rnacentral:rRNA from 1 species